UUGAAGAGUUUGAUCAUGGCUCAGAUUGAACGCUGGCGGCAGGCCUAACACAUGCAAGUCGAGCGGUAGCACAGAGAGCUUGCUCUCGGGUGACGAGCGGCGGACGGGUGAGUAAUGUCUGGGAAACUGCCUGAUGGAGGGGGAUAACUACUGGAAACGGUAGCUAAUACCGCAUAACGUCGCAAGACCAAAGUGGGGGACCUUCGGGCCUCAUGCCAUCAGAUGUGCCCAGAUGGGAUUAGCUAGUAGGUGGGGUAACGGCUCACCUAGGCGACGAUCCCUAGCUGGUCUGAGAGGAUGACCAGCCACACUGGAACUGAGACACGGUCCAGACUCCUACGGGAGGCAGCAGUGGGGAAUAUUGCACAAUGGGCGCAAGCCUGAUGCAGCCAUGCCGCGUGUGUGAAGAAGGCCUUCGGGUUGUAAAGCACUUUCAGCGGGGAGGAAGGCGAUAAGGUUAAUAACCUUGUUGAUUGACGUUACCCGCAGAAGAAGCACCGGCUAACUCCGUGCCAGCAGCCGCGGUAAUACGGAGGGUGCAAGCGUUAAUCGGAAUUACUGGGCGUAAAGCGCACGCAGGCGGUCUGUCAAGUCGGAUGUGAAAUCCCCGGGCUCAACCUGGGAACUGCAUUCGAAACUGGCAGGCUAGAGUCUUGUAGAGGGGGGUAGAAUUCCAGGUGUAGCGGUGAAAUGCGUAGAGAUCUGGAGGAAUACCGGUGGCGAAGGCGGCCCCCUGGACAAAGACUGACGCUCAGGUGCGAAAGCGUGGGGAGCAAACAGGAUUAGAUACCCUGGUAGUCCACGCCGUAAACGAUGUCGAUUUGGAGGUUGUGCCCUUGAGGCGUGGCUUCCGGAGCUAACGCGUUAAAUCGACCGCCUGGGGAGUACGGCCGCAAGGUUAAAACUCAAAUGAAUUGACGGGGGCCCGCACAAGCGGUGGAGCAUGUGGUUUAAUUCGAUGCAACGCGAAGAACCUUACCUGGUCUUGACAUCCACAGAACUUAGCAGAGAUGCUUUGGUGCCUUCGGGAACUGUGAGACAGGUGCUGCAUGGCUGUCGUCAGCUCGUGUUGUGAAAUGUUGGGUUAAGUCCCGCAACGAGCGCAACCCUUAUCCUUUGUUGCCAGCGGUUAGGCCGGGAACUCAAAGGAGACUGCCAGUGAUAAACUGGAGGAAGGUGGGGAUGACGUCAAGUCAUCAUGGCCCUUACGACCAGGGCUACACACGUGCUACAAUGGCAUAUACAAAGAGAAGCGACCUCGCGAGAGCAAGCGGACCUCAUAAAGUAUGUCGUAGUCCGGAUUGGAGUCUGCAACUCGACUCCAUGAAGUCGGAAUCGCUAGUAAUCGUAGAUCAGAAUGCUACGGUGAAUACGUUCCCGGGCCUUGUACACACCGCCCGUCACACCAUGGGAGUGGGUUGCAAAAGAAGUAGGUAGCUUAACCUUCGGGAGGGCGCUUACCACUUUGUGAUUCAUGACUGGGGUGAAGUCGUAACAAGGUAACCGUAGGGGAACCUGCGGUUGGAUCACCUCCUU
rnacentral:rRNA from 1 species